rnacentral:rRNA from 1 species
GACCUACGGGAGGCAGCAGUGGGGAAUAUUGCACAAUGGGGGGAACCCUGAUGCAGCGACGCCGCGUGAGUGUAGAAGUAUUUCGGUAUGUAAAGCUCUAUCAGCAGGGAAGAAGAUGACGGUACCUGACUAAGAAGCCCCGGCUAACUACGUGCCAGCAGCCGCGGUAAUACGUAGGGGGCAAGCGUUAUCCGGAUUUACUGGGUGUAAAGGGAGCGCAGGCGGCGUGGCAAGUCAGAUGUGAAAACCCGGGGCCCAACCCCGGGAGUGCAUUUGAAACUGCCAUGCUGGAGUGCCGGAGAGGU